ACGCCGCGUGAGUGAUGAAGGUUUUCGGAUCGUAAAGCUCUGUUGCCAGGGAAGAACGUCUCAUAGAGUAACUGCUAUGAGAGUGACGGUACCUGAGAAGAAAGCCCCGGCUAACUACGUGCCAGCAGCCGCGGUAAUACGUAGGGGGCAAGCGUUGUCCGGAAUUAUUGGGCGUAAAGCGCGCGCAGGCGGUUCUUUAAGUCUGGUGUUUAAACCCGAGGCUCAACUUCGGGACGCACUGGAAACUGGGGAACUUGAGUGCAGAAGAGGAGAGUGGAAUUCCACGUGUAGCGGUGAAAUGCGUAGAUAUGUGGAGGAACACCAGUGGCGAAGGCGACUCUCUGGGCUGUAACUGACGCUGAGGCGCGAAAGCGUGGGGAGCGAACAGGAUUAGAUACCCUGGUAGUCCACGCCGUAAACGAUGACUGCUUGGUGUUAGGGGUUUCGAUACCCUUGGUGCCGAAGUUAACACAUUAAGCAU
rnacentral:rRNA from 1 species